rfam:Terrabacter sp. 28 contig72, whole genome shotgun sequence.
AGUCAAGUGAAUAAGUGCAUCAGGUGGAUGCCUUGGCGAUGAUAGGCGACGAAGGACGUGUAAGCCUGCGAAAAGCAUCGGGGAGCUGGCAAUAAAGCUAUGAUCCGGUGAUGUCCGAAUGGGGAAACCCACCUCUUAGGAGGUAUCCUUGUCCGAAUACAUAGGGCAAGAGAAGCGAACCCGGAGAACUGAACCAUCUAAGUACCCGGAGGAAAAGAAAUCAACCGAGAUUCCGCAAGUAGUGGCGAGCGAACGCGGAGGAGCCUGUAUACGAUAGCCGAACUGUUAGAAGAAAGAAUUGGAAACUUCUGCCAUAGCGGGUGAUAGCCCCGUAUUCGAAAACAGAUUGGUGGUACUAGGUAUACGACAAGUAGGGCGGGACACGUGAAAUCCUGUCUGAAGAUGGGGGGACCAUCCUCCAAGGCUAAAUACUCAUCAUCGACCGAUAGUGAACCAGUACCGUGAGGGAAAGGCGAAAAGAACCCCGGGAGGGGAGUGAAAUA